UGGGGAAUAUUGCACAAUGGGCGAAAGCCUGAUGCAGCAACGCCGCGUGAGCGAUGAAGGCCUCGGGUCGUAAAGCUCUGUCCUCAAGGAAGAUAAUGACGGUACUUGAGGAGGAAGCCCCGGCUAACUACGUGCC
rnacentral:rRNA from 1 species